UGAGUGCUUUUCGUUUUAACCUGAUAUAUGCUGGGUUUAAUGUAGGGGAACUGAUAUCAGGACUGGCAUCAAUUCCCCCCUAUUUUAUGUUCAUUCCUCAAGCUUGAGGGAUUUGUGGUGAUGACUUAUCUAGCUACUUCCUGCUGAAUCAGGGUGUAGGUUGUUCCAUCUCAUUGGACCAGUCUCUUAGUAAGGUGGUGAUGCAGGUGGGCUCCCAAUGUUAGGCCUGUAUUGUGUAAGUAAGUAACCAAGUAUUUAAUAAGAAGUAGUUCUAGAUAAACAAAAAGAAAA